GACGAACGCUGGCGGCGUGCUUAACACAUGCAAGUCGAACGGAAAGGCCCUGCUUUUGUGGGGUGCUCGAGUGGCGAACGGGUGAGUAACACGUGAGUAACCUGCCCUUGACUUUGGGAUAACUUCAGGAAACUGGGGCUAAUACCGGAUAGGAGCUCCUGCUGCAUGGUGGGGGUUGGAAAGUUUCGGCGGUUGGGGAUGGACGCGCGGCUUAUCAGCUUGUUGGUGGGGUAGUGGCUUACCAAGGCUUUGACGGGUAGCCGGCCUGGGAGGGUGACCGGCCACAUUGGGACUGAGAGACGGCCCAGACUCCUACGGGAGGCAGAAGGGGGGAAUAUUGCACAAUGGGCGGAAGCCUGAGGCAGCAACGCCGCGUGCGGGAUGACGGCCUGCGGGUUGUAAACCGCUUUCGCCUGUGACGAAGCGGGAGUGACGGUAAUGGGUAAAGAAGCACCGGCUAACUACGUG
rnacentral:rRNA from 1 species